GUUUACAUACACAGGCAAGAAGCUGGCUACGACCUACAGCCCAUAGCUUGCUGACAUUUGUUUCUGACUUACUGUACUAUUUUUCAUUUUGUCCCUCCAGUGUGCCAAGGAACUCCUACUUUAGAGUCCUCCACUGUCUCUGGACUUCUCCGGCAGCUCUGCACCCUCUGGCCAUCUUGGACGUCUGUGCCCCACCUCUGGGAACCGCCAGGUUCCGCUUGCUCCUCUGGGGCCUGGUGUGCCUCUGCUGAUGGUUUCCCUGUCCAAGCACCGCUGCCUUCGACAAGAACCUGAGCGUUCGGUGGUGGCCAUUGCCUCCAGCCCCGCUGGAUGCUGCCACCUGGAAGAGCCACGUAGCCUCCAGUCGUCAUGGGGUGGAGCUGCUCCCCUGUCUGACCAAGGAGUGAGAGAAAAGAGAGGAAGGAAUGACUGCCAAGGCACAAGGGGA
rnacentral:lncRNA from 1 species